rnacentral:rRNA from 1 species
AGUGAACGCUGGCGGCAGGCCUAGCACAUGCAAGUCGAACGGCAGCACAAGAGAGCUUGCUCUCUGGGUGGCGAGUGGCGGACGGGUGAGGAAUGCAUCGGAAUCUGCCCAUUUGUGGGGGAUAACCUCGGGAAACCGGGACUAAUACCGCAUACGACCUACGGGUGAAAGCAGGGGAUCUUCGGACCUUGCGCAGAUGGAUGAGCCGAUGCCGGAUUAGCUAGUUGGAGGGGUAAAGGCCCACCAAGGCGACGAUCCGUAGCUGGUCUGAGAGGAUGAUCAGCCACACUGGGACUGAGACACGGCCCAGACUCCUACGGGAGGCAGCAGUGGGGAAUAUUGGACAAAGGGCGCAAGCCUGAUCCAGCCAUGCCGCGUGUGUGAAGAAGGCCUUCGGGUUGUAAAGCACUUUUGUUGGGAAAGAAAAGCAGCCGGUUAAUACCCGGUUGUCAUGACGGUACCCAAAGAAUAAGCACCGGCUAACUUCGUG